rnacentral:rRNA from 1 species
ACUCCUACGGGAGGCAGCAGUAGGGAAUCUUCCACAAUGGGCGCAAGCCUGAUGGAGCAACACCGCGUGAGUGAAGAAGGGUUUCGGCUCGUAAAGCUCUGUUGUUAAAGAAGAACACGUAUGAGAGUAACUGUUCAUACGUUGACGGUAUUUAACCAGAAAGUCACGGCUAACUACGUGCCAGCAGCCGCGGUAAUACGUAGGUGGCAAGCGUUAUCCGGAUUUAUUGGGCGUAAAGAGAGUGCAGGCGGUUUUCUAAGUCUGAUGUGAAAGCCUUCGGCUUAACCGGAGAAGUGCAUCGGAAACUGGAUAACUUGAGUGCAGAAGAGGUAGUGGAACUCCAUGUGUAGCGGUGGAAUGCGUAGAUAUAUGGAAGAACACCAGUGGCGAAGGCGGCUACCUGGUCUGCAACUGACGCUGAGACUCGAAAGCAUGGGUAGCGAACAGGAUUAGAUAUCCUGGUAGGAUAGCG